AUUUAAGCAUAUAAGUAAGCGGAGGACAAGAAACUAAACAGGAUCCCCAUAGUAAUGGCGAAUGAACCGGGAUAAACUCAGCAUGGAAAUUGGGGCCUUUGGCUUUGACUUGUAAUCUGGUGAGGCAUUGCCAACAGAGGCGCAUAUGUAAGUCUCUUGGAAAAGAGCAUCAACGAAGGUGAGAGUCCUGAUUGUCAUGUGCAGCCCCCCUGUGCACGGUGUGCCUUCUAAGAGUCACGUUCCUUGGGAUUGGAGCGCAAAUUGGGUGGUAACUUUCAUCUGAAGUUAAACAAUGGUUUGGGACCGAUAGGAAACAAGUACCAUGAGGGAAAGGUGAAAAGGACUUUGGAAAGAGAGUUAAAAGUGCCUGAAAUUGCUGAAGGGGAAGCGAAUGGAACCAGUGGUGCUGGGUGAGAUUGUCACAUGCUGCAAGGAUUGGUUGCUGCCACAACGCAAGUGUGCUGGCAAUUUGUGAACUGCUAGUGUGUGGUGUGUCUUACCUAGUGGGUCAUUGUGGGUUUAUGCAUUAAGAUAAAUCAAAGCAAGCGGGAGCAAGUUUACGAGUUUGUGAAUGUGUGUUGUUAUGCUUGUGCGUAAGCUUUAGUGUUUGUCUGGCUGCAGGGCUGUCCAUCCUCAAGCUUUGCUGUGGUUGCGAUGAGCAUAACCUUCUGCACAGAUCUUGACGAAAUGGUUUCAUUCGACCCGUCUUGAAACAC
rnacentral:rRNA from 1 species